UACGAAGGGGGCUAGCGUUGUUCGGAUUUACUGGGCGUAAAGCGCACGUAGGCGGAUCUUUAAGUCAGAGGUGAAAUCCCAAGGCUCAACCCUUGGAACUGCCUUUGAUACUGGGGAUCUUGAGUCCGGGAGAGGGUGAGUGGAACUGGCGAGUGUAAGAGGUGGAAAUUCGUAGAGUAAUUCGCAAGAACACCAGUGGCGAAGGCGGCUCCACUGGCCCGGUACUGACGCUGAGGUGCGAAAGCGUGGGGAGCAAACAGG
rnacentral:rRNA from 1 species